rnacentral:rRNA from 1 species
AUUACAGGUACGGGCUCUGAGAGGAGAAGCCCGGAGAUGGGUACUGAGACACGGACCCAGGCCCUAUGGGGCGCAGCAGGCGAGAAACCUUUGCAAUGUGCGCAAGCACGACAAGGUUAAUCCGAGUGUUUCCUGCUAAAGGAAUCUUUUGUUAGUUCUAAAACCACUGAUGAAUAAGGGGUGGGCAAGUUCUGGUGUCAGCCGCCGCGGUAAAACCAGCACCUCAAGUGGUCAGGAGGAUUAUUGGGCCUAAAGCAUCCGUAGCCGGUUCUGUAAGUUUCCGGUUAAAUCCACUAGCUCAACUAAUGGGCUGCCGGAAAUACUGCAGAACUAGGGAGUGGGAGAGGUAGACGGUACUCGGGAGGAAGGGGUAAAAUCCUUUGAUCUCUUGAUGACCACCUGUGGCGAAGGCGGUCUACCAGAACACGUUCGGCGGUGAGGGAUGAAAGCUGGGGGAGCAAACCGGAUUAGAUACCCGGGUAGUCCCAGCUGUAAACGAUGCAGACUCGGUGAUGCACUGCUUUCGGCCAGUGCAGUGCCGCAGGGAAGCCGUUAAGUUUGCCGCCUGGGAAGUACGUACGCAAGUAUGAAACUUAAAGGAAUUGGCGGGGGAGCACCACAAGGGGUGAAGCCUGCGGUUCAAUUGGAGUCAACGCC